AAAUUCUAAUUGAAUACACCUAGAAUUUCAGAGAAUCACUUAAAAUCCUAAUUGAAUACCCCUGGAAUUAUUAAUUCCCUGAAACUCUCUCAGAAUCCUAAUUGAAUACACCCUCUUAGAGAGGCAUUUGUUAAUUUUUGUUUUACUUUUUCUUUCUUAACCUUGUAUCCAAAGAAGGGAGAGGAUCCUCUCCGGACCGAAUCCUCUUUCUUCUUCAUUUUUCUCUGCAGUCGUUGCUUCCCUGGAGUCGGCGUCGUGCUUCCCCUGAGCCUUCCUCCCCCAAAUCCCCACCAUCGUCAACAACCAGCCCUCUCUCCCAGGUUGUCUCUCUCCUCUACUUCACGGUGAAGCCUUCACCAUCAUGAAACCCAACAGUAGGAACCAACACUGUCGCCAUCUUCGUACAUACUAGAUCAACGGCUAGCAAUUUUCUUUGGUUUUCAAUUAUCCCUAUAUGGCCGAACCUUCUUAACCCUUUACAAUCCCCAAGCCCCAACAAAGAAAAAACUCGUCUCUCUCCGCAGCAAAGCCAUGAAACCCUCUCUCUCUCUGUCACCCACUGCCAUACCCAUGAAACGCCGAUCCAAAGCCAGAUCCGAGGCCAAGAGCCUUCUCGGAUCAGGAUUCAAGGCCAAGAAGAGCCUCCUCGGAUCAGGAUUCAAGGCCAAGAGCUUCCCCGGAUCCGAAUCAGGAUCCAGUCAUAGGAUGAAUCCAGCCCAACCGCAAAAACUCCAAGGUCAAUGAAACUUGUGAAAGGUAAGGAGAAGGAACCUGCUCCCUGACAUCAUCACUGCCAGAGCUAAGAAGCUGCACAAACAUGGGGACCGCACCAUGCUCAAUAACGACUCGUGUAUGCUCUGAUGUUCCUGAUGCAACAUUGGUCAAAGCCCAUGCGGCUUCAAACUGCAUAUAAAGAUCAGCAACUCAUCCAUUGGAGCUCCACUUGCUGUCGUCGAUCCUUGGAACUAGAAGCAGUUUAAGGUCCAACAGGAGCUGCUACUCCAUUUGUUAGCCAUCACUCCAUCAGCGCCUCUUCUCCGACCCUUGCUAAAUCUUCCCACCACCGUGAAUUUAAGGCCUGGCAGCCUCCAGAUCGUCAGACCUGCGUUUUCGGCAUGCCCUGUCUCGUAAUGGAAGCUCAACUUUUGACCCCAUUGUCUUAAAUUCCUGGCUCCGCCACUGCCUCUCACCAUCCAAUUCCGAUACUGCAUGAGAUGACAUCAUACUUUUGGUUUCCGUAAAACCGGUGGCCCCAAGGAAUUCUUCCAUGGGAGUUUGGAUCGGGUUUGGAGUACCAAACCUCUGCUCUUUCCGCUAUAUGAAACUAAAGGUACGUGCAAGAAUGUUUUUAUUUGUCAAUCUCUUUUAUUUUUAUUUUUGAAUAAAUUAUGUUAGGGACGGGCACCUCGGUUGCAGAAGGUGUCAGGACGGGAGGUUAUAUCGACGGAGAAAGUAUGUGCAAGGGAUGAAACCUUCGAUCGAGCAGGAUGCAGACGUGCAAUUGAGCAAGAUGAAGGGGCAACAAAACUUUGAAUUUUCUUUCAACAAUAAAAUUAGUACAGUGGAAUGCAACUUCGGUGCACAAGGUUUUACAAAAUUUAUAAAAGCCGAAUCUGCUCAACCACAAUUUACUGCAGUAGGUGAAAAACAGAAUUGAAUGUAGACAACCAGUGCCAGUUACACCUCAGAGACCAUGACUAAGGAAAAGAAAUGUAGCUACGAUGAUUUCAUAUGCCUCUUCUUGUCUUUGCACUACGCGGCCUGCAAGCAAAACGAAAGAUCUUCCCAGAUAAAUCGAACGGUAUGAAAUAAGCUGAAGACGGAAUUCAGAUUCUACAUCAGAAGUUGGAAAGGAAAAAGCACUUUUACCUUGUAAAGACAGAGCCAGCCUAUGAGUUGCACUCGCAGACGGGGUUGUCUGUACUGUGGGAUUUAUGAAAACGUAGUUCAUGCACGAGAACCCAAGAUUCCUGAAGUCAACGAUAAACAUACGUGAAACUGUGUCAUGCUUAUUAAAUUGUAGGCAUGUAUUACAAACAAAAAGAAACCGGAUUCAACAACGAGUAGUUGGUUAUCAUCUUAUCUCCCUAUUGGUGAUGCAAUUGCUACUUCUGGUAUAAUAUUUUGUAAUAUGUUUUUUGACAUACUGAAAUUCAUGAACAAAAUACUCUCAAGUCGUAUAUUGAAUCCCAACGAUGAGAAUUACUUCGCGGUUAAAGUACUAGACAUUUCAAGAACUUC